CCAAUAGCGUAUAUUAAAGUUGUUGCAGUUAAAAAGCUCGUAGUUGAAUUUCGGGAUUGGCGCAUCGGUCGUGCCUCACGGGGUAUGAACUGGUGCAGUCAAUUUCUCACCUUCUGGAGAACCGCGAUGUCCUUAAUUGGAUGCCGUGGGGAACCAGGACCUUUACUUUGAAAAAAUUAGAGUGUUUAAAGCAGGCAUUU
rnacentral:rRNA from 1 species